AUCUCUAACGAUGAUCAACCUCGAAACUUUCGUUCUCCUGAGCAAAUUCAUGCUGAAAAUUGUGGAGACCUGACCUGAAGAGCU